CAAUGGCGUCACUUGGAGCGACCCAGGCAUGGGCAUUUCACCAGUAGACCGGGGAAGACACACGCGCGACCCGGAAGGCCUCGCCGCAACACUCCAAAGCGGGUGUGAGGGGGGGCCGAUGGCGGAGGGAGCGGUGGAAGCCCCAGCAGAGAGUGGUGGCGGUGGCGACCCAGGAACCAUCGAGCCGGAACGAGGAGUAGCGUCCAUUAAACUUCAAUACCUAACCACCAAGGAGCACUUCCAUGAAUUCCUGGAAGCCAAAGGGCAGGAGAAGCCCAGCCAGGAAACCGAGGCUGGAGACCCUGCUGGCAAUGACCUGGAUGAGCCUGAGGCCAAGCGGAUCCGGCUGGAGGAUUGGCAGACAGAGGACAGGCAGACAGAGGAGGCUGUUGAGCCUGGGGAGCAGCCACAGGCCCAGAAGAGGGCCCGGGGUCAGAACAAAUGCCGGCCCCAUGUGAAGCCCACCCACUAUGACAAGAACAGGCUCUGCCCCUCCCUGGUCCAGGAAUCCACCGCUAAGUGUUUCUAUGGCGACCGCUGCCGCUUCCUGCACGACGUGGGCCGCUACCUGGAGACCAAGCCAGCUGACCUGGGCCCCCACUGUGUGCUCUUUGAGACCUUCGGCAGGUGCCCCUAUGGUGUGACCUGCCGCUUUGCCGGGGCCCAUCUGGGGCCCGAGGGCCAGAAUCUGGUGAAGGAGGGGUUGGUCCAGGCCCCGCCCAUCCGCAAUGGCCUGGACAAGGUCCUGCAGCAGCAACUGCGAAAGCGCAAGAUCCACUUUAAGCAUGCAGAGCAGGCCCUGCGCCAGCUGAGCAAGGGCCAGCUGCCAGGCCCCACCCCCAAAGCCACUGUCCCCGAGGUCAUGGAGGCUGAGGGUGCCCCAGGGCAGGACAACUGUGACGCCCAGCAGGCCCCCCAGGGGCCGGGCACCGUUCCCCCUCCCAGGGGCCCUUUAAGGACCUGCGGGCCCCUGACAGAUGAGGAUGUAGUCAGGUUGCAGCCCUGUGAGAAGAAGCGGCUGGACAUCAGUGGCAAACUGUACCUUGCCCCCCUCACCACGUGUGGGAACCUGCCCUUCCGGCGGGUUUGUAAGCGCUUUGGGGCAGAUGUGACGUGCGGGGAGAUGGCUGUGUGCAUCAACCUGCUGCAGGGCCAGACGUCUGAGUGGGCCCUGCUCAAACGCCACCCCUGCGAGGAUGUCUUCGGUGUCCAGCUUGAGGGCGCCUUUCCCGACACCAUGACCAAGUGUGCCGAGCUGCUGAACCGCACCAUCGAGGUGGAUUUCGUGGACAUCAACGUCGGCUGCCCCAUCGACCUCGUGUACAAGAAGGGCGGGGGCUGCGCCCUCAUGAACCGCUCAGCCAAGUUCCAGCAGAUCGUCCGUGGCAUGAACCAGGUGCUGGACGUGCCACUGACCGUGAAGCUCCGCACGGGUAUCCACGAGCACAUGAAUCUGGCCCACCGGCUGCUGCCCGAGCUGCGGGACUGGGGGGCUGCGCUGGUCACGUCUGUCUCUCUGGGUCUUCUUCUCUCUCUCUGUCUCUGUCUGAUUCUCUGCCCUCUGCCCCUCCCCCCCGCCUGGCUGCCUCUCCUCCAGCUCCACGGCCGCUCGCGGGAGCAGCGCUACACCAAGCUGGCCGACUGGCGGUACAUCGAGCAGUGCGUGACAGCAGCCAGCCCCAUGCCCCUUUUCGGAAACGGGGACAUCUUAUCGUACGAGGACGCCAACCGUGCCAUGCAGACUGGCGUCGCUGGGAUCAUGAUCGCCCGCGGCGCCCUGCUCAAGCCGUGGCUGUUCACGGAGAUCAAGGAGCAGCGGCAUUGGGACAUCUCGUCGUCUGAGCGCCUGGACAUCCUGCGGGACUUUGCACACUAUGGCCUGGAGCACUGGGGCUCGGACACGCAGGGCGUGGAGAAGACACGCCGCUUCCUCCUUGAGUGGCUCUCCUUCCUGUGCAGGUACGUGCCCGUGGGCCUGCUGGAGCGGCUCCCGCAGAGGAUCAACGAGCGGCCACCCUACUACCUGGGCCGCGACUACCUGGAGACGCUCAUGGCCAGCCAGAAGGCGGCCGACUGGAUCCGCAUCAGUGAGAUGCUGCUGGGACCCGUGCCACCCAAUUUCGUCUUCCUGCCCAAGCACAAGGCCAACGCCUACAAGUAGCUGCAGGGGCGGGCGGGGGUGUCUGAGCGCCCAGCGGGCUCCCCAAGGAAUGAGAAGCACCCCAAACACUUGUACGCACCCGCCGCUCCCCAAGAAGGCUUCAGUCCCCAGAGCCUGGAUGCCACCGAAGGGCCCGACAGCCAGCCUGCUUCUGCCUGC